GGGGAAUUUUCCGCAAUGGGCGAAAGCCUGACGGAGCAAUACCGCGUGAGGGAGGAAGGCUCUUGGGUUGUAAACCUCUUUUCUCAGGGAAUAAGAACUGAAGGUACCUGAGGAAUCAGCAUCGGCUAACUCCGUGCCAGCAGCCGCGGUAAUACGGAGGAUGCAAGCGUUAUCCGGAAUGAUUGGGCGUAAAGCGUCCGCAGGUGGUUUAUCAAGUCUGCUGUCAAAGAGUUUGGCUCAACCAAAUAAAGGCAGUGGAAACUGACAGACUGGAGUGCGGUAAGGGCAGAGGGAAUUCCUGGUGUAGCGGUGAAAUGCGUAGAGAUCAGGAAGAACACCGGUGGCGAAAGCGCUCUGCUGGGCCGUAACUGACACUGAGGGACGAAAGCUAGGGGAGCGAAUGGGAUUANAUACCCCANUANUCA
rnacentral:rRNA from 1 species